UUGGCAAAUUGAUCAUUAUAGAUUGAGGGAUUGAAUACGGGUACGGGGAUGAGAGCCAGGGGUCACCGAUGAUUUUAAUGCAACCUCCGUCACCAACUCACCACAGUAGCCCCUUCCCAAUAAUCUUGCGACCCUCUAGAAUACUAUGUCAUCCCCAAGAAGGUACAUAUCUAUUGUGAUACAUAA